GGGCCCAUAGCUCAGUUGGUAGAGCACCGUGUUGAUAACGCGGGUGUCAGUGGUUCGAGCCCACUUGGGCCCACCA
rnacentral:tRNA from 2 species